AGAGUUUGAUCCUGGCUCAGGACGAACGCUGACGGUGUGCUUUAGACAUGCAAGUCGAACGAGAAAGCCCUUCGGGGUGAGUACAGUGGCGAACGGGUGAGUAACACGUGGGUAAUGUACCUUCCAGCGGGGGACAACCGUCCGAAAGGAUGGCUAAUACCGCGUACGUCGGCGAGGGCCCCGGUCCUUGCCGGGAAAGAUGGCCUCUCCUUGGAAGCUGUCACUGGAAGAUCAACCCGCGGCCCAUCAGCUAGUUGGUGAGGUAACGGCUCACCAAGGCUAAGACGGGUAGCUGGUCUGAGAGGAUGAUCAGCCACACUGGGACUGCGACACGGCCCAGACUCCUACGGGAGGCAGCAGUGGGGAAUAUUGGGCAAUGGGCGAAAGCCUGACCCAGCCACGCCGCGUGAGUGAUGAAGGCCUUCGGGUCGUAAAGCUCUGUGGGGAGGGACGAAUAAGUGCCGUGCUAACACCACGGUGCCCUGACGGUACCUCCUUAGCAAGCACCGGCUAACCCUGUGCCAGCAGCCGCGGUAAUACAGGGGGUGCAAACGUUGCUCGGAAUUAUUGGGCGUAAAGCGCGCGUAGGCGGCUACUUAUGUCGGAUGUGAAAGCCCCUGGCUUAACUGGGGAAGUGCACCCGAAACUGAGUAGCUAGAGUACGAAAGAGGGUCGCGGAAUUCCCGGUGUAGAGGUGAAAUUCGUAGAUAUCGGGAGGAACACCGGUGGCGAAGGCGGCGACCUGGGUCGAUACUGACGCUGAGGCGCGAAGGCGUGGGGAGCGAACGGGAUUAGAUACCCCCGUAGUCC
rnacentral:rRNA from 1 species